rnacentral:rRNA from 1 species
AAAAAAGGUAAGCUACUAAGAGCGAAUGGUGGAUGCCUUGACUGGUAAAGGCGAUGAAGGACGUACUAGACUGCGAUAAGCUACGGGGAGCUGUCAAGAAGCUUUGAUCCGUAGAUUUCCGAAUGGGGCAACCCAAUGUAUAGAGAUAUACAUUACCUAUAUAGGAGCGAACGAGGGGAAUUGAAACAUCUUAGUACCCUCAGGAAAAGAAAUCAAUAGAGAUUGCGUCAGUAGCGGCGAGCGAAAGCGCAAGAGGGCAAACCCAGUGCUUGCACUGGGGGUUGUAGGACUGCAAUGUGCAAGAGGUGAGUUUAGCAGAACAUUCUGGAAAGUAUAGCCAUAGAGGGUGAUAGUCCCGUAUGCGAAAAACAAACCUUAGCUAGCAGUAUCCUGAGUAGGGCGGGACACGAGAAAUCCUGUCUGAAGCUGGGUCGACCACGAUCCAACCCUAAAUACUAAUACCAGAUCGAUAGUGCACAAGUACCGUGAGGGAAAGGUGAAAAGAACUGAGGUGAUCAGAGUGAAAUAGAACCUGAAACCAUUUGCUUACAAUCAUUCAGAGCCCUAUGUAGCAAUACAGGGUGAUGGACUGCCUUUUGCAUAAUGAGCCUGCGAGUUGUGGUGUCUGGCAAGGUUAAGCAAACGCGAAGCCGUAGCGAAAGCGAGUCUGAAUAGGGCGCUUAGUCAGAUGCUGCAGACCCGAAACGAAGUGAUCUAUCCAUGAGCAAGUUGAAGCUAGUGUAAGAACUAGUGGAGGACUGAACCCAUAGGCGUUGAAAAGCCCCGGGAUGACUUGUGGAUAGGGGUGAAAGGCCAAUCAAACUUCGUGAUAGCUGGUUCUCUCCGAAAUAUAUUUAGGUAUAGCGUUGUGUCGUAAUAUAAGGGGGUAGAGCACUGAAUGGGCUAGGGCAUACACCAAUGUACCAAACCCUAUCAAACUCCGAAUACCUUAUAUGUAAUCACAGCAGUCAGGCGGCGAGUGAUAAAAUCCGUCGUCAAGAGGGAAACAACCCAGACUACCAGCUAAGGUCCCUAAAUCUUACUUAAGUGGAAAACGAUGUGAAGUUACUUAAACAACCAGGAGGUUGGCUUAGAAGCAGCCAUCCUUUAAAGAAAGCGUAAUAGCUCACUGGUCUAGUGAUUUUGCGCGGAAAAUAUAACGGGGCUAAAGUAAGUACCGAAGCUGUAGACUUGCGCACAACUUAGAUUAUUUAAGUUUAGAAUAUGAGAAACUAAGUUAUAUGUUUAGUUAUAUUUUUACUGAUUUUUAUAGAGUAAAGAUAGAAAUAAAACUUAGUAAAAUCAGUAAAAAUAUUCUUAGACUAAAGUUAAGUAGUUUAAGUUGUGUGCAAGUGGUAGGAGAGCGUUCUAUUUGCGUCGAAGGUAUACCGGUAAGGAGUGCUGGAGCGAAUAGAAGUGAGCAUGCAGGCAUGAGUAGCGAUAAUUAAUGUGAGAAUCAUUAACGCCGUAAACCCAAGGUUUCCUACGCGAUGCUCGUCAUCGUAGGGUUAGUCGGGUCCUAAGUCGAGUCCGAAAGGGGUAGACGAUGGCAAAUUGGUUAAUAUUCCAAUACCAACAUUAGUGUGCGAUGGAAGGACGCUUAGGGCUAAGGGGGCUAGCGGAUGGAAGUGCUAGUCUAAGGUCGUAGGAGGUUAUACAGGCAAAUCCGUAUAACAAUACUCCGAGAACUGAAAGGCUUUUUGAAGUCUUCGGAUGGAUAGAAGAACCCCUGAUGCCGUCGAGCCAAGAAAAGUUUCUAAGUUUAGCUAAUGUUGCCCGUACCGUAAACCGACACAGGUGGGUGGGAUGAGUAUUCUAAGGCGCGUGGAAGAACUCUCUUUAAGGAACUCUGCAAAAUAGCACCGUAUCUUCGGUAUAAGGUGUGGUUCGCUUCGUAUUAGGAUUUACUCCGAAAGCGAAGAAACUUACAACAAAGAGUCCCUCCCGACUGUUUACCAAAAACACAGCACUCUGCUAACUCGUAAGAGGAUGUAUAGGGUGUGACGCCUGCCCGGUGCUCGAAGGUUAAUUGAUGGGGUUAGCAUUAGCGAAGCUCUUGAUCGAAGCCCGAGUAAACGGCGGCCGUAACUAUAACGGUCCUAAGGUAGCGAAAUUCCUUGUCGGUUAAAUACCGACCUGCAUGAAUGGCGUAACGAGAUGGGAGCUGUCUCAAAGAGGGAUCCAGUGAAAUUGUAGUGGAGGUGAAAAUUCCUCCUACCCGCGGCAAGACGGAGAGACCCCGUGGACCUUUACUACAGCUUGACACUGCUGCUUGGAUAAGAAUGUGCAGGAUAGGUGGGAGGCUUUGAGUUAUAGACGCCAGUUUAUAAUGAGCCAUUGUUGAGAUACCACUCUUUCUUAUUCGGGUAGCUAACUAGCUUGAGUUAUCCUCAAGUAGGACAAUGUCUGGUGGGUAGUUUGA